GGACCAUUUAAAUAUAAAUGGGGGUUUUCUCGGCUAUUCGUGAAGGAGCCGGGGUGGCUCGGCUAAGACAGGAAGGAUGCAUUUCAACGCUCAAUUUUACCAUGAAGGUCUGUUUCAAUUAAUGGCUUGUCUUUUUUUUUUUAAAGCUUUUCUCGCUUCGAAGUUCAAGAAAUUAGCUUGCUUUGAAGUCACUUGAAGGGCUCAUGGUUGGUUUACCAACUGAGCAAACGACUUGGAUCUUUAGAGCAGCUCUCGCUACGUUUCGUCACAGCAAGCAAGCGAGCGAGAGCCAGCGAGCGAGCCAGUUUGUGAUCGAUGAGAGGUGGGUCUGAUUGCAACGGGACAAUUACGAGCGUAAUGCGUGGUAUUGUUUGGAAUCUAGCCAGCGAUGGUGUGUAUGUCAAGACAAAAGGAAAAGAAGAAAAAAGCCUUUGCAGCGUA